UGGUGACACCCCUUGGCCAGGCCAGCCCAGAGAACCUGGCCCAGCAGAUGGAUGGAGAGAGGGUUACGUAACAGGUGGGAGGGCUGGACAGUAGGGCUAGGACUGGAAGGUUCUGGACAGUAGGGCUAGGACUGGAAGGUUCUGGUCAGUAGGGCUAGGACUGGAAGGUUCUGGUCAGUAGGGCUAGGACUGGAAGGUUCUGGUCAGUAGGGCUAGGACUGGAAGGUUCUGGUCAGUAGGGCUAGGACUGGAAGGUUCUGGUCAGUAGGUAUAGGACUGGAAGAUUCUGGUCAGUAGGGCUAGGACUGGAAGGUUCUGGU
ensembl:lncRNA